rnacentral:rRNA from 1 species
CUCGUAGGUGGUUUGUCGCGUUGUUCGUGAAAACUCACAGCUUAACUGUGGGCGUGCGGGCGAUACGGGCAGACUAGAGUACUGCAGGGGAGACUGGAAUUCCUGGUGUAGCGGUGGAAUGCGCAGAUAUCAGGAGGAACACCGGUGGCGAAGGCGGGUCUCUGGGCAGUAACUGACGCUGAGGAGCGAAAGCGUGGGAGCGAACA